CAUCUUACUGGGCAGCAUUGGAUGGAGUCUGGUCUCUAAUACUGCCUGGUAAUGAUGAC
rnacentral:pre_miRNA from 1 species